rnacentral:lncRNA from 1 species
AGAGGGCCAAAAUCGGUGGUCGGCAGCGACCACCGGCGUCGGAAAUCAAAGAAAAACGAGCAAAAUAUAGAGGUUCUUCCGCAACAAAAUUCGGCGACUCCGGUCGCCGGCGAGCAUGCACACUGGCAUGGAAAGGAAGGGGGAGAAGAGAGGAAGGGGAGGAGGCUUACCUCCGACGCCGGUGAGACUUUUUCGGCGAGCAAUUGGACGGCACAGGGACGGAUCUUCCGUGAGAAUUUUUCGGCGAUUGCCGCCGACUGAGCUUGUGAUCUUUGGUGGAAGGGAGAGAGGAGGGAUCUCCUCCUUAAAUAAUACCGGAGGGAGCUCGUCUCAGACUCUGAUUGGGAGCCGGCGAGAGGAGGAAGAAGACUCCCUUCGGGAGUCUUCUCCCCUGUUUUUCUUUCUUUUUUUUUUUUGUUGGGCUGGCUGGGAUUCUGACAUGGGUUGGGCCG